CUGGCAGCCUGCCCGUUUGGCAGCCUCUGCCAGAACAGUCCGUGGAGUACAGACUGCUCCCUGUCUUCUCCCAGUCUGGUCCCUGGAGAGACUCCAAUCUCCCUGCUCGAGUCCUUCCCUUUUCUGCUUAUCAUGGGGAAGGAAUAUGCGUCUAGGCGUUAAAUCGCUCGAGUGCCAGCUGGCACAGCACAGCCACAGGGCCCCAGCAGGAGCGGGCCUCAGUUCUCAGAGAGCUGCACAAAGACCAAAGCAAAUUUAUUACUGUUUUUCAGUUUACAAAUGGGAAAUCCACAACAUUGGUCAAGAAGAAAAGGCACCAUGAAUGGGAAGACCGAAGUGCAGACAACCAGCUGGAACAAGGGUGAAAAUAUAGGAGAUUACGAUCCAUUCCUGGGUGGACGGCCAGCGUUCCAUCUUCACUAACACGAUAUAGUUGAAGAGCAUCAGGUAUCCGAUAUACGCCAGCUGUAAGGAGACACAAUACAGUGCUCUGGCUGUUCAGGCCCAGGAGCCCCAGCAUCAGCCAAGGCCACUGCACAGCAGCACAGAGCAGGGUCAGCAAGCAGGACACAGACUUUAUGACAAAAGGAACUUGAAGGUGCUAAACUAACAAAAGAAUUAGAAAAGACAGUAAUACUUGAAGGAUUAUAAUAUGCAAUCUUCCUUUUGACCUGUACAUGUAUCUCUGGGGCUCUGGUGCUUCGUUUAAAUCUAUGUGUCAUGAUGCAUCAUUUCGCCUUGCAGUUACCCAUUUUUGUGUGUUUUCUUGGCUAAAAAGGGAGCCUUGGCUGUCAGUGGCGGCUCUUGCUCAGGCGUGGACCUUAGGUUCUUAAACUAGGGCAGCACAGUGGAUUUUUGCCUCACGAAUGCCAGGCAGAAUAAGUGUCUGUGAGAAGCAAAGGAAGAGGAAGACACAUGUAACACCUGUAAAUUGGUCAAACCAACAUAAAAAUAGCCCAGGCUUAAAGUGCUUCGCUUGUCAGUGCCCUGGGAGGGUCUUACCUGUUUUCAUUUCACCACUUUCCUGUCCUAAUCAAGUUAAGAUAAGAUAUUCCUUCCUGGUGUCUGCUUCAUUGAAACAACACAAGAAAAGACAACACAGUUUACAGAAAGGAAAGGGUCCGUGUGGCCUUUUGUGGACGGGUGUGGGGUUUAAUCCCCAAGAGGCUCUGGCUCGUGGGGUUGAAUCCUGAUGUGACUGGCUGAAUUGCUGGAUGUCUGGGAAGAACUCCCUAGGGUUUGGUGACUGCUCCUGGAAGAUUCAGUUGUGUCAAGGUGAGUGAAGUGCAGGGAAACUGGUGGCUCUUGCAUAAGGGGCUGAGGAGCCUUGAGAGAAGACUCACUCACCUUAAGGGAAAUGGCAGACUAGCUGGGCCUUCCUUACACAAUGCCUCAAGUCAAGUGAGGUACUCACUGGCCUUAGGGGCCUCAGGGGCUGUGAGCAGGAACCAAGAGGGAGUUUAUUAACUAAAAUCUGCUGCACUCUUCAGAGUGGUGUAGCAAAGAAUAGACACAGUGUGGGUGAAAGGAUUGAGGCCUUGAGGGGUCUGGAGGUACUGCAUGACUUUGUAGCUGGGAAGGCAGCUUAGAAGGUGGAGGAAGCUGCAGCCUUGCUGGGGGAUAUGCUGCUUUCUCUACUAAUUCUCUUAUGUUUUGGGACAGGGUCUCACUCUCGUCACCCAGGCUGGAGUGCAGUGGCAUUGUGAUCUCGGCUCAUUGUAGCAUUGACUUCCUGGGCUCAGCCACUUCACACCUUGAAUUUGAAUCCUCUCCAGAUGGAUACCUGAAAUAGGCUCUCAAAACAAGCAGGGUCUAGGAGCCAGUUGGACCCCUGCCUCCUUUCUUCUUGGACCAGAAGAGGACCCAAUCUGCUCCUAGAGAAACUUGCUACGAUGCAGAAGUGAGGUUAUAUGGAAAUGAAGUGUGUCCUACCUUUCAGAAACUUGGGAGAGUAGGAGAGACCAUUUUUGAAAAUCUGGUGAGAAAUACUCUUACAGAGAAAAACACAGCCCAAAGCACAUGGGACCUUCAAUCUGAAAUUGAAUUGUACUGUUAAGCAUGUCUGGUGAUUCAAAAGACUGGCAUACCUUAUUUCCAGUCACUUCCUCGAGGCCUGGGCUUUGUCAAUAUGUGAAGAUGAAUUUUGGAGAAUCAUGUAAACACAAUUGAACAGAUCUGGGGGAUCCAGUCUGAUGGGUUUGCUGAGGCCAAUCCAGUCAGCCACGCAGAAGUGUGCUGGACACACAGGCCCCACCACCCCCCGCCAAAGAGGCAGCCUCCCAACAAGCUGCCAAUGACAUAAGCAAAGCAGCGUGUCUCAAGUGUCUCCAAUCAUAAGAUUCGCCUGGGAAGCUGGUUAAACUAACACAGCCUCUUAGGCUCCUUCCUGAAGACUGGAUUCCAUGGGUCUAUGAUGGGGCUAGAAAUUUGCAUUUCUAACAAAACUCCCUUGUCAUCAUGGACGUUUUAGAGAUAUUGAUACUAUUAUUUCUACUGAUUUCUGCUCUCGGGAGUCUGUAAACUUUUUCUGCAAAUGGCCAACUGGUUAACUUUUAAGGCUUUGUAGAACCGAUAGUCUCUCUCUGUCUCUCACUACUCAUCAACUUGAUGUGGUAGCACAAAAGCAGUCAGUCAGCCUAUUGCUAAUGGUAAAUGAGAUUUAGCCUAAAGCUGCCUCCUUAAGUUCGGCCUGAAGUUUUCUCUGUACAUUGUGAACUAUAACAAAUGAAGGUGUAACAAGACCAAUCACCGAGUUUCGGUCAAUCAAAUGUAGCCAACUGCUCAAACUGUGUUCAAAUAAGGCAAACGCUGAGCUGUAACCAAUCCAGCUGUUUCUGUACCUCACUUCCGUUUUCUGUAUGCCACUUCCCUUUUUCUGUCCAUAAAUCUUCCACCACGUGGCCCUGCCAGAGUCUCUGAGCCUACUCUGGCUUGGAAGACUGCCCAAUUCACGAAUCGUUCAUUUGCUCAAUUAAACUCCUUUAAAUUUAUUCGGCUCAAGUUUUUCUUUUAACAGAAAUCAAGAGUCUGCCUGUGUUCCAAUUAUUUAUGGACACUAAAAUUUGAAUAUGUGUUUCAAGUAUUCCUUUUCAAAUUUUAUUAAAAAUGUAAAAACCAUUCUCAGUUCGCAGGCCACAAUCACAGGCCAUGGGUUGAAUUUGGCUCAAAAGCUGUAGUUUGCCAAGCCCUGUUCUAAGCUAACAGUUGGGGAAUCAUAAUAUAAAAGGAAGGACAGACCUGGGUGUGAAAUAGCUGCAAAAAUAUUAUCUCGGGCUGGGCGCAGUGGUUAUUGCCUGUAAUCCCAGCACUUUGGUAGGCUGAGGCAGGCCCAUAGCUUGAGGCCAGCAGUUCAAGACCAGCCUGGCCAACGUGGCAAAACCCCAUCUCUACUAAAAAUACAAAAAUUAAUUAGCCAGGUGUGGUGGUGAACACCUGUAAUCCCAGCUACUCGGGAGGCUGAGACAUGAGACUCACUUGAAUCCAGGAGAUGGAGGUUGCAGUGAGCCAAGAUUGUACCACUGCACUCCAGCCUAGGUGACAGAGUAAGAGUUUGUCUCCUAAAUAAAUAAAUAUUAUCUUGAUAAAAUAGUUGUUAGGAUUACAAAGAGUACUUAAAUAAUAGUACCUAGAACAUUGCCUCAAACUUAGUAGGUGCUCAAUAAAAGAAAGAUAUUAUUUUUGUUGAGUGGAUGUAUGAACACAACACUGAUUAUCUAUUGCUGGGCAACGUGAAUAGCCUAGAAGAAACAAUAGUCACAGUUACAUUGUACUUAUAUGUCAAGGAACUGUUCUAAGUGCUUUACAUGUUUUAACACAUUUAAUCUUGAUUAAAUCCUAUAAAAUCGGAACUACUAUUAUUGGCAUCUUAAGAAAACUGUGGACAGAAGGGGAAAUUAAGUUGUUUGAGGGCACAUGGUAAGAGGUGCAGAUGGGAUUCCCACCCAGGCUGUCUGAUUCCAAAGUCCAUGCUUGUCACCACUAAGCUGUUUUCUGCAAGGUUAAAAAUAAUAUAGAGC
rnacentral:lncRNA from 1 species